GGAAAGAAAUGCCACAAAUUCUAAGACAUAAGUCCAUUAUAUCAUGCAAUAUGGUCACCAUGCACAAGAUUGACAUAAAAGGCACCUCUGUUCUAAUAAUUGAACCAACAACUGAAGAAAUGUGAUGAAAUCAAAUGUCACAACAGCCCCAUCUAAUCCUUGCUCUGGCUUGGCCCUUAACUCCCUAAUCCCUAGGUUUUCUAUUACUCAGUAGAUGAUUAUUGACAAUCAAAUAAAUUGUUUGAGAAUUAG
rnacentral:misc_RNA from 1 species